AUUAAAGGCAAAACAGAAGAAAUUCUGCGACGCAAAGCUAUAGGGCCUGGAAGUAUUUGAAUGGCAGCCAGUUGC
rnacentral:ncRNA from 1 species